CUGCUGAGGAUGAGUCCCACAAUAGGACGAAACGGUCGUUCAGUAC
rnacentral:hammerhead_ribozyme from 1 species